UGUGGUAUUUUUGGUAUGAGGCAUAGUGAUAUUGCCUUCUCUCUCACCCUACUCUAAUAAGGUUUUGAUAUCUGGAGCUCAUAGGUGGGAGACAGAUAAUACAUACUUACAAGACAUUUAUUGCAUAGUCAAACCAUGGAUCCAGAGAAACAAGUCAAUAAGUCAAAUCAAGAUGUGCAUGUCUGGCGAAUGAAUGGUGUAUGGUGAUAACAAUGGUGAAAGUCUAAUUCUACUUUUGCUCUAUUGAGGAGAUACAUACCUUUCUUGCACUUGAAGCUUUUUGAGGGGAAUGAGACGCUCUAUAUUUUCUUUUUCUUUUCUCUCAGGUGGGUAUCUUGUACCCCUAAUUCUACUAUCGGACACUUGUCCAUUUUUACCUCUCGUCUCACUUUUUCUUUUCUUCGAGGUUCCGGGCUCUUGCCCCUUUUUAUUUCCUCGUAUUUUUUUUACAGAGCACUCACCCUCCUAGAAUAAUGUAGCAAGUGGUAGUAACCAAAAUAUCUUGAGCAUUUAUUUCAUGGGGAAUAACAGGGAUAGGGUAAUCUUUUUGGCUAUUCUCUCCUGGAUAGGAGUAGAAUAAUUUUGGGUGAAUCUGGAGAUGGAAAGGAGUGCAUGUAUGUGGAUGCGUACUUCCGGAGUAGAAGCAGCAUGUAUGAGUGAACGUGCAAGGAAAUCUUGAUUUUAACCGCAUGACAAGUUCCUAAGGGUCUACAUAACUUGACCACACUCAAUGAUCAUAAGUAGUAAAAAGUAA
rnacentral:lncRNA from 1 species